CAAUAGCCCCGAUGGUAGUGGAUCCCGAUUUUCAUCGGGAGGAACGGACAGCGGGAACAAGG
rnacentral:sRNA from 1 species